rnacentral:rRNA from 1 species
UUGAAGAGUUUGAUCAUGGCUCAGAUUGAACGCUGGCGGCAGGCCUAACACAUGCAAGUCGAACGGUAACAGGAAACAGCUUGCUGUUUCGCUGACGAGUGGCGGACGGGUGAGUAAUGUCUGGGAAACUGCCUGAUGGAGGGGGAUAACUACUGGAAACGGUAGCUAAUACCGCAUAAUGUCGCAAGACCAAAGAGGGGGACCUUCGGGCCUCUUGCCAUCGGAUGUGCCCAGAUGGGAUUAGCUUGUUGGUGGGGUAACGGCUCACCAAGGCGACGAUCCCUAGCUGGUCUGAGAGGAUGACCAGCCACACUGGAACUGAGACACGGUCCAGACUCCUACGGGAGGCAGCAGUGGGGAAUAUUGCACAAUGGGCGCAAGCCUGAUGCAGCCAUGCCGCGUGUAUGAAGAAGGCCUUCGGGUUGUAAAGUACUUUCAGCGGGGAGGAAGGGAGUAAAGUUAAUACCUUUGCUCAUUGACGUUACCCGCAGAAGAAGCACCGGCUAACUCCGUGCCAGCAGCCGCGGUAAUACGGAGGGUGCAAGCGUUAAUCGGAAUUACUGGGCGUAAAGCGCACGCAGGCGGUUUGUUAAGUCAGAUGUGAAAUCCCCGGGCUCAACCUGGGAACUGCAUCUGAUACUGGCAAGCUUGAGUCUCGUAGAGGGGGGUAGAAUUCCAGGUGUAGCGGUGAAAUGCGUAGAGAUCUGGAGGAAUACCGGUGGCGAAGGCGGCCCCCUGGACGAAGACUGACGCUCAGGUGCGAAAGCGUGGGGAGCAAACAGGAUUAGAUACCCUGGUAGUCCACGCCGUAAACGAUGUCGACUUGGAGGUUGUGCCCUUGAGGCGUGGCUUCCGGAGCUAACGCGUUAAGUCGACCGCCUGGGGAGUACGGCCGCAAGGUUAAAACUCAAAUGAAUUGACGGGGGCCCGCACAAGCGGUGGAGCAUGUGGUUUAAUUCGAUGCAACGCGAAGAACCUUACCUGGUCUUGACAUCCACGGAAGUUUUCAGAGAUGAGAAUGUGCCUUCGGGAACCGUGAGACAGGUGCUGCAUGGCUGUCGUCAGCUCGUGUUGUGAAAUGUUGGGUUAAGUCCCGCAACGAGCGCAACCCUUAUCCUUUGUUGCCAGCGGUCCGGCCGGGAACUCAAAGGAGACUGCCAGUGAUAAACUGGAGGAAGGUGGGGAUGACGUCAAGUCAUCAUGGCCCUUACGACCAGGGCUACACACGUGCUACAAUGGCGCAUACAAAGAGAAGCGACCUCGCGAGAGCAAGCGGACCUCAUAAAGUGCGUCGUAGUCCGGAUUGGAGUCUGCAACUCGACUCCAUGAAGUCGGAAUCGCUAGUAAUCGUGGAUCAGAAUGCCACGGUGAAUACGUUCCCGGGCCUUGUACACACCGCCCGUCACACCAUGGGAGUGGGUUGCAAAAGAAGUAGGUAGCUUAACCUUCGGGAGGGCGCUUACCACUUUGUGAUUCAUGACUGGGGUGAAGUCGUAACAAGGUAACCGUAGGGGAACCUGCGGUUGGAUCACCUCCUU